UGGGGGAUAUUGGGCAAUGGAGGGAACUCUGACCCAGCCAUGCCGCGUGCAGGAUGAAGGCGUUAUGCGUUGUAAACUGCUUUUUAUAUAGGAAGAAAUAGUCCUUGCGAGGAAAGUUGACGGUACUAUAUGAAUAAGCACCGGCUAACUCCGUGCCAGCAGCCGCGGUAAUACGGAGGGUGCAAGCGUUGUCCGGAUUUAUUGGGUUUAAAGGGUGCGUAGGCGGUUUAUUAAGUCAGUGGUGAAAGACGGUCGCUCAACGAUUGCAGUGCCAUUGAUACUGGUAGACUUGAGUAUGAUUGAGGUAGCUGGAAUGGGAUAGUGUAGCGGUA
rnacentral:rRNA from 1 species